UACGUAGGAUGCGAGCGUUGUCCGGAAUUAUUGGGCGUAAAGAGAACGUAGGCGGUUUGUUAAGUUUGGGCUUAAAGACUGGGGCUCAACCCCAGGAGUGGCUCGAAAACUGACAGACUAGAGGAUGGCAGAGGAAAGUGGAAUUCCCAGUGUAGCGGUGAAAUGCGUAGAUAUUGGGAGGAACACCAGUGGCGAAAGCGACUUUCUGGGCCAUUCCUGACGCUGAGGUUCGAAAGCUCGGGGAGCAAACAGG
rnacentral:rRNA from 2 species